AUUGAACGCUGGCGGCAUGCCUUACACAUGCAAGUCGAACGGUAACAGGCCGCAAGGUGCUGACGAGUGGCGAACGGGUGAGUAACACAUCGGAACGUGCCUGAUAGUGGGGGAUAACUACUCGAAAGAGUAGCUAAUACCGCAUAAGAUCUCAGGAUGAAAGCAGGGGACCGCAAGGCCUUGCGCUAACAGAGCGGCCGAUGGCAGAUUAGGUAGUUGGUGGGAUAAAAGCUUACCAAGCCGACGAUCUGUAGCUGGUCUGAGAGGACGACCAGCCACACUGGGACUGAGACACGGCCCAGACUCCUACGGGAGGCAGCAGUGGGGAAUUUUGGACAAUGGGCGCAAGCCUGAUCCAGCAAUGCCGCGUGCAGGAUGAAGGCCUUCGGUUGUAAACUGCUUUGUACGGACGAAAAGACGUCUGGUUAAUACUGGGCCCAUGACGGUACCGUAAGAAUAAGCACCGGCUAACUACGUGCCAGCAGCCG
rnacentral:rRNA from 1 species